GAUGAACGCUGGCGGCGUGCCUAAUACAUGCAAGUCGAGCGAACAGACGAGGAGCUUGCUCCUCUGACGUUAGCGGCGGACGGGUGAGUAACACGUGGAUAACCUACCUAUAAGACUGGGAUAACUUCGGGAAACCGGAGCUAAUACCGGAUAAUAUAUUGAACCGCAUGGUUCAAUAGUGAAAGACGGUUUUGCCGUCACUUAUAGAUGGAUCCGCGCCGCAUUAGCUAGUUGGUAAGGUAACAGCUUACCAAGGCUACGAUGCGUAGCCGACCUGAGAGGGUGAUCGGCCACACUGGAACUGAGACACGGUCCAGACUCCUACGGGAGGCAGCAGUAGGGAAUCUUCCGCAAUGGGCGAAAGCCUGACGGAGCAACGCCGCGUGAGUGAUGAAGGUCUUCGGAUCGUAAAACUCUGUUAUUAGGGAAGAACAAAUGUGUAAGUAACUAUGCACGUCUUGACGGUACCUAAUCAGAAAGCCACGGCUAACUACGUG
rnacentral:rRNA from 1 species